rnacentral:rRNA from 1 species
AUUGAACGCUGGCGGCAUGCUUUACACAUGCAAGUCGAACGGUAACAGGCCUUCGGGUGAUGCCGAGUGGCGAACGGGUGAGUAAUGCAUCGGAACGUGCCCAGAGGUGGGGGAUAACGCAGCGAAAGCUGUGCUAAUACCGCAUGUGAUCUGAGGAUGAAAGCGGGGGACCAGGCAGCAAUGUUUGGCCUCGCGCCUUUGGAGCGGCCGAUGUCAGAUUAGGUAGUUGGUGGGGUAAAGGCCUACCAAGCCGACGAUCUGUAGCUGGUCUGAGAGGACGACCAGCCACACUGGGACUGAGACACGGCCCAGACUCCUACGGGAGGCAGCAGUGGGGAAUUUUGGACAAUGGGCGCAAGCCUGAUCCAGCAAUGCCGCGUGCGGGAAGAAGGCCUUCGGGUUGUAAACCGCUUUUGUACGGAACGAAAAGGCUCUGGCUAAUACCUGGGGCUGAUGACGGUACCGGAAGAAUAAGCACCGGCUAACUACGUG